AGCAGGGUCAGAGAGAGGAGAGGGGGAGCAGAGUCAGAGAGAGGAGGGGGGCUGGUCAGAAUAGGAAAGAACCGAGAGAAUGCUUGUCUUCUGUCAUACAGAGACAAAAUCAGAAUAACCAGAUUAACACUUUAAUAAACUCAGUUAUAGUUGAGUGUAAGACUGGUGUUUUGUCCAAUGGUAUAACACCAGAUUACCUGAACCUAGCCCUAACCCACAAGUCAGCAGGAUGGACGUUACCCCGGCAACAAGACAGGAAGAGCCACACCCACCAGGGUUGCCAUGGUGGCUUGAUACGCCGACUCGCUAUAGGUAGGUGGGAGAAGGAGCUUUGUGUGUUUCAAGUGUUGCUGGGACGUUUAUUGUACAAAACAAUACAACGUCACAACGUGAUAUCAACCUAUCAACACUAUGGAAACAAAAGACUCUGGAGAGGAGACCAGACACCAGAACUACCUACCUACCUAUCUACACAUACCGCAUAUAUAUAUAUAUAUAUAUAUAUAUAUA
ensembl:lncRNA